rnacentral:tRNA from 3 species
GGCGGCGUAGCUCAGCUGGCUAGAGCGUACGGUUCAUACCCGUAAGGUCGGGGGUUCGAGCCCCUCUGCCGCUACUA